GACAUUUGAGUGGUUUUCACCAGUAAUACAGGAGUGCUGAGCCACAAGAAAAGCUGCGGGGAGGAUAACAAUUUCGUGGAAAACAGAUUGUUGUGGGACAUUGGAAGAACCAGUUCAAGGUCGUUGGUCAUGGUCGUUGGUCAUGGAGCAGCUGGAGAUGGUGAAGCGCCACUUCUGGGCCUGAGAAACAAGCACUGACUGUAGCCCGCGGCAUCCCCAUUCAGAGUCAGGAUCCGAUUGUGCUACAAACACACUGUAUAAACACACUGGAAGACACAAUCCCUAACCUGCAGAAUUUGCAGCCUAAGUUUCCAAUCCUGCCUUUGGAUCAGUGAUGGUGGAUGUCUUCCUACCCCUCAUGGAGCCCCAUUGAAGUCAGUGAGUGUGCAUGCAGGCACAGGUGUCUGCCUGCCUGGAACCAUUUGCAGAAUCAAGACCCAGGCAGGGGUGCUGGACCAAUUUUAUAGUGGGGAUGCUGAGAGCCA